rnacentral:misc_RNA from 1 species
CUCAUAUGUUUCUGUAAAGACUUUGGCACUGGAAAUAGCAUACUUUAUGGGUGAAUUAUAAUCCAUAUCAAACAAAAAGGCUAUCCAAAGGAAAAAUAUGAAAAGACGACACUUUCAGAAAUCACGCUUCCUAUAAUAACAUUUCCAAGCAAAAUCAUGGUAAAUAUCUCAGGAGUUUGCUUGUAGAAAAAGGUAAAUGGAAGAGGAAAAUUGUACUUGGUAAAGCAUAAGAAAAGAAGAUUGAAUUGACCAAGAAACAAAAUUGCAUGGAACAAUUGAAAGAAUGGUGUCCAGUUUAACAAAUUUCAGAUAUCUCAGGAGGUAUUCUGUUCAGCUGGCUAAUCUUCUACCCAACUGCUCAAGAAAUCAAUAAUACACAGCAUACCUUAACUUCAGUAUAGAGUUUCUUCUCCCAAAGAU